rnacentral:rRNA from 1 species
CGGCCAUCCGAGUUGUAAUCUAGAGAAGCGUUACCCGCGUCGGACCGUGUACAAGUCUCCUGGAAUGGAGCAUCAUAGAGGGUGAGAAUCCCGUCUUUGACACGGACUACCGAGGCUUUGUGGUGCUCUCAAAGAGUCGAGUUGUUUGGGAAUGCAGCUCAAAAUGGGUGGUAAAUUCCAUCUAAAGCUAAAUAUUGGCGAGAGACCGAUAGCGAACAAGUACCGUGAGGGAAAGAUGAAAAGAACUUUGGAAAGAGAGUUAAACAGUACGUGAAAUUGCUGAAAGGGAAACGCUUGAAGUCAGUCGCGUUGUCCGGAAAUCAGCCUUGCUUUUGCUGGGUGUAUUUUCUGGUUGACGGGCCAGCAUCAGUUUUGACCGGUGGAAAAAGUCUAGAGGAAUGUGGCAUCUUCGGAUGUGUUAUAGCCUUUGGUCGUAUACAUCGGUUGGGACUGAGGAACUCAGCACGCCGCAAGGCCGGGUCUUUGACCACGUACGUGCUUAGGAUGCUGGCAUAAUGGCUUUAAUCGACCCGUCUUGAAACACGGACCAAGGAGUCUAACAUGCCUGCGAGUGUUUGGGUGAAAAACCCGGACGCGUAAUGAAAGUGAAAGUCGAGAUCCUUGUCAUGGGGAGCAUCGACGCCCGGACCAGAAGUUUUCUGACGGCCCUGCGGUAGAGCAUGUAUGUUGGGACCCGAAAGAUGGUGAACUAUGCCUGAAUAGGGUGAAGCCAGAGGAAACUCUGGUGGAGGCUCGUAGC